rnacentral:rRNA from 1 species
UACGUAGGUGGCAAGCGUUGUCCGGAUUUACUGGGCGUAAAGAGCGCGCAGGCGGUCGUUCAAGUCGCGUGUGAAAGCCCCCGGCUCAACUGGGGAGGGUCACGCGAUACUGAUCGACUCGAAGGCAGGAGAGGGAAGUGGAAUUCCCGGUGUAGUGGUGAAAUGCGUAGAUAUCGGGAGGAACACCAGUGGCGAAGGCGGCUCACUGGCCCGGUACUGACGCUGAGGCGCGAAAGCGUGGGGAGCAAACAGG